rnacentral:tmRNA from 1 species
GGGGCCGACAGGUUUUGACAGCAAGAUGACUUGUUGGGUAAGCAUGCCGAGCGUUGUGAAUAUUGCUCGUAAAUCUGAAUUCUCAACCGUCUUAACUGGCGAAAACGACUACGCGCUUGCGGCUUAAUUCUUCAUAGAAGAAUGGCCUUAUUCUCUCACUAGGUGGGAAGAACAAGCUACCUUUUAGCAGAUCCGGCUUAAAGAUCUGCUAAGUUUGGUAUCAUCAAAUUUAAGCUAGCUUUUGCAAAGCCUUGGUGCAGGAGCGAAAUUAAAAGGCUAAGGAAUAAAUAGGUGGCAUUAUGCCGGUUUUUUCCCUACAAUCAAGUUAAUGCUACGCAUGUAGAAAGCUUAAUGAUUCCUUGUUUGGACGAGAGUUCGAAUCUCUCCGGCUCCACCC